CGAUGGUUGAGGCGCUAUCGUCUACUUCCGGUAUACUUCCGGAAAAUUUGCAUAAAACUAGCAAGUGAGCUUUAUUCUCUGUGCAAUUCUUAAGACUCCAUGCCAAGUUAAGUAAACAGAAAUGGUCUUUUUGAUUACUUUUGUGACUUUUUUGACUAUCUAAGACCGGUCCUUUAGAUAGUGGGUUUUGGACGUGUCAAAUAGAUGGCGUGAAAGAAGAAUCUUGUGUUGAUAUGUGCUUAUGGCGGCUCGUUGUCAACAGUUCAGCUACAGCUAUUUUCUUCAAAAAUUACCAAUGAAUUCGUUGGAGAAAAUGUGAAAGGGGCAUGCAGCCUAGAGCCUACUGUCAACUAUAUUGUGUUGUAAAUCCUGGGAUCCUACUGAAUGUGUCAUCCAAAUGUCAGAGGAUUCAUCAUAAUUAUCGACUGAUUCUAUUAGACUUGCUAGAUCACCAACCCCAGCAUGG